rnacentral:rRNA from 1 species
CUACGGGCUGCUCCAGUGAGGAAUAUUGGACAAUGGUCGAAAGACUGAUCCAGCCAUGCCGCGUGCAGGAUGACUGCCCUAUGGGUUGUAAACUGCUUUUAUACGGGAAGAAAAACACCUACGUGUAGGUGACUGACGGUACCGUAAGAAUAAGGACCGGCUAACUCCGUGCCCGCAGCCGCGGUAAUACGGAGGGUCCAAGCGUUAUCCGGAAUCAUUGGGUUUAAAGGGUCCGUAGGCGGGCUAUUAAGUCAGAGGUGAAAGUUUGCAGCUCAACUGUAAAAUUGCCUUUGAUACUGAUAGUCUUGAAUUGUAGUGAAGUGGUUAGAAUAUGUGGUGUAGCGGUGAAAUGCAUAGAUAUCACAUAGAAUACCGAUUGCGAAGGCAGAUCACUAACUAUAUAUUGACGCUGAGGGACGAAAGCGUGGGGAGCGAACGGGAUUAGAUACCCGCGUAGUC